CAGAGAUUGAACCCAGGCCCUCUGCCUUGGGAGCAUGGAACCUCAACCACUGGACCACCAGAGAGAAAAAUGAAUCAUUAUUUUCCCUUCAAGCUUGCAGAAUUUUCUCUGGGAACACUGUUUUGCACACAGUGUGAGAGAAAGUGGAUUGUGAACAGCAGCAGCUGGAGCACACAGGGAAACGAGCCAGCAUGGGGCAGGGUCAAAUGUGUGACAUCUUUCCUGCCACAGGGUGGAUCUCCCCUUCUAAUUAACCAGGAGACCCCAGCCCUGACUCCAUUAUCUGGCCUGAUGAGUGGGUUCUUAUGGACUUCUCAAUUCUUGAUGAAUUUCAUCUUUUCCCCAAAG